GCUGUGGCUCAGUGGAAAAGCCUCUGCUUUGCAUGCUGGAAUCCCAGGCUCAAUUCCCAGCAUCUCCA
rnacentral:tRNA from 1 species